rnacentral:rRNA from 1 species
ACUACAUGAAGCUGGAAUCGCUAGUAAUCGCGGAUCAGAAUGCCGCGGUGAAUACGUUCCCGGGUCUUGUACACACCGCCCGUCACACCAUGGGAGCCGGUAAUACCCGAAGUCAGUAGUCCAACCACGUGAGGACGCUGCCGAAGGUAGGAUUGGCGACUGGGGUGAAGUCGUAACAAGGUAUC